AGUGUCAUGCAUUAGUCAAAAUUUGUGCCACUUCACCUAAAGCUGGUGACGUCUCUACGUAAACAUAAACAUCAUUUGAGUCGGGGUCGGAAUGCAUACAAAUAAUUUUGGAGAGAAACUUUAAGUGAUGGCACGUCACAGGAGUCGGGGCCUGUGGUGAUGGAUUGAUGGUGGAGUCUCUACAUCGUCAUAAUGGCUGAUUUCCUUUUAAAACAUGGAUGAAAAUAUAAUUAUCAGCAAUAUUUGCCUAUUCAUAUGUAACGGGAACCAGUGUAUCUCCAGGGACUAGAAUAAGCCAAACCUCUCCCAAAGUACAAGAUCUAAUCUUUCUCUAUUUAUUUAAUUGACUAUGGAUGGUACUUGGGAUCGGAAGGACUUAUUAAAUUAUUGAAAAUGUAAAUCACACUGGUUGAAAUGUAUACCCACUACCCAGGUUGUUUAGUGAUUCCCAGAUUAUGAUCCUCACCUUGUUUUGGAAAUGAAAAGAUUUGUAAAGUUAUGAAUUUAUUAUGACAAAAGUAAAUAUGACUUUAGACUAGUUGAUAACAAAUAACAAAUAUGUUUUCCAAAAAAAAAAAAAAAAAAAAAAAAAAGUAAUAUAGUCUAUAUCACAACUGGAAUUAUCCAAUAUAAUUUAGUAACAAGAUAUAUGGAAAAUAAAUUAUAUUGUAAAACUUUAAAUAUGGGAGAAAUGUGACUUUUAUCAAAAAUAUGUAAUUAUUGCGCUAAAGAGCUUCCAUACACCGAAGAAUGUAGACAAUUGUUAUAAAUAAACACGGGGAUAGCCUAAGUGUUAAUAUAUAACUAAAAAAUGAAAUAAAGUAAGGGACAUCUAAUUCUACCCUGAACCAAUGGGUGACUCUACUAUGGGUAACUACAUUCCUAACUUUCAAACUCUAAACUUUGCUAUCGAACCUUAACGUUCUUGACCCCUAACAAAGUGAAUUUCACUCUUCUGGGUAGCUCUAUUUAUAGGUAAAGCAAGCCAAUAAAAUACUAAAAAUAAAUGCCUAAUCUGAUUAGUCAGGACUUAGUCUCUUAGCCAAUAGAAUUAUAGAAUACAGAUUACGCUUGGGAUGACUGGCAAUAUGGCGGGUAUAAUGAAUUACUUGAAGAAGUGAAAGGGACUCCAGUUUCCUCCCACGCUGUUAACCCCCUUAAGCCAACAUCAGCAUUACAGAGACACAUCAAUAGAUGGUGUCAAUUUCAUUAACAUCUGCGAGUUGGCUGGACACUGGUGCUAGUGCGGUGCAGUCUUUGAAUGUUAAGAAAAUAAAUUAAAUUGUAAAUGAUCCUGCUUGUGAAGGACGUGAAGAACAGAUGCUGUGCAGUUAUUUGACAUGUUCCUCAUUAAAGAUUCAAGUUUGCUCAAAUGAUAAUCACCAGGACCCAGUUGAACGAAGGUUAGUUAUCUGUAACUAACAGUUAACUUGAAAUUAACUUGAACAUAUACAUAGCGUUAACUUGAAGUUAAAUGUCAGUUAAACUUAACUAACUUUUGUGCAACUGCAUGGACCCUGGGUU